rnacentral:misc_RNA from 1 species
UUUCCGUAGGUGAACCUGCGGAAGAAUCAUUAAAGAAUUUGCCCCGUCCUCUCGAGGAUGGGUCCUCUUCUAAACCGUGUAUACAUACCUUUGUUGCUUUGGCGGGCCGCCGUCUCGGCGUUGGCUUCGGCUGACUGUGCCCGCCAGAGAACCCCAACUCUUCUGUUUAGUAUUGUCUGAGUACUAUAUAAUAGUUAAAACUUUCAACAACGGAUCUCUUGGUUCUG